rnacentral:lncRNA from 1 species
UGGAAUCAUCGCAAGGAAGAAAAAAUGAUGUAAGAUUCAAGAUAUUUGUGGUGUUGUUUAUGAUUAAUUUAUUUCCGCUGGAAUCUUGGAUUUAAAACAUGUUAGGCUUGCUAGUAUUAUUUUUGCUUUGCUAAAUUAUUGGUUUAAGGAUUUAUGAUAGUUGAAAAUGGGUUUGGUGGUUUAAUGGUGGUUUGCCAUUUGGUUUAAUUAAGUAUUAUGGAGUUUUUUUUUAUCAUUUAUUUUUUCAAAAAGAAAAAUGGAUCAAGUUGGUUCACAUACCAUGAAAACAAAAAACUAUGAUACAUUACAAUAAUAAAAAUUAUGAAUUAUUUUAUUUCAUUAAAAACAAUCAUUUAAAGAAAAAAACAAAAAAAAAAACAUGUCAGCCUACAAAAUAUAUAUAAUUAAUAAACACUGUAAAUUGUUGCCCAUCAAAUGAAUGAGAUUAAGUGCCACGAUCUUCUCCUUCAAUACCUUCAUCGUCGCAUCCUCAUUGACCUCUGAAUCUGACGAGAGUGUAAUGUCCAAGACCGCCUAGGAAAGGCGCCAGAGAGAGGAGACGUGUGAGGACCAAUGGGUAAGAGAUUUUUCUGAUUAAUAUUUCUUCAUAGCUUCAGAGAAAUAGAACAUAGGAGUAACUUUGAAGAAAAUGUAGGUUUUUAAUAGAAAAUGUUUUGCGAGAAAGAGUAUUGUAACUUCAUCUCUGAAAAGAUUUUAUUGACACUUUCUUAAAUGUGUCAACCAUAGUCGAAGUUACGAUACCCUUUAUCUCAAAUCGCUCUAGUCAAAGACUACAGUUUCUUAAAAGCUACCUUUAUGUUAUACCAUUCUUCAGAAAUGAAACUGCAUCAAUCAGCAAAAUCUCUUACGCACUGGUCUUCACACGUCUCCUCUCCCUGUCCCUCCUAGGCGGUCUUGGAGAAGACACUCUUGCUGGAUUCAGAAGUCAGUGAGGUGCGGUGAAGGAAUGAAGGAGAAGAUCAAAUGGCACUUGAUGUGAAAUGUUGUCGGAGAAGAAGAUAAUUUAUACAAUCUUUCAUUGUUGCUACUUCUUCUGCUUCUCUCACGUUCAUUAGUUAAAAGAACAUUGUAAAAAAUUCAGAACUUGGAGAAUGGAAGAGAAUCUAUAGAAUUAGUUUGAAGGAGAAGAAAAAAAAAGACGUUUUCUGUCUAUGGUCAGAAUUUGACUAAUAAGCUUUUGGAAUUUAUAGAGAAAAUAGUAUUUGUAUUUUUCAUAAAACUAGAUAGAUUUAUAUUUAAGUAUUUUACCUAAUAUAAUCCUAGUCAAAUAAAAUAUUAUACUUUCCAUUUUACCAUUCUAUUGUAUAAAUUUUCAGUCAAAGCUUAUUAUUAUGGUUGACUGAAAACUUACAAAAUAGAAAGGUAAAAUGGGAAAGAUAAUAAUUUUUUUAUUUGACUAGUAUGAUAUUAUGGUAGAAUAAUUUUAUAACCAAAUCUUUUGACUUAUAUGAUAUGAUGAUAAAAUAAGUAUUUUCACAUCCUAUUAUUCAAGUCAACUUAAAAAAAUUAUUUCUUCAUUUACCAUUAUAUUAUAGAAAUUUCCAGUCAAUAUAUAUUCUAUUUUAUUAAUAUUGACUGGAAAUUUCUAUAAUAUAAUGGUAAAUGAAGAAAUUGUUUUUUUUGUUGACUUGAAUAAUAGGAUGUGAGAACAAUUAUUCUAUCAUCAUAUCAUAUAUCAAAUACUUUAAAAAAAUGUUUUUUUUUUGGGUUCUACAAAUCCAAAAUCCUACACCAAAUAGAGCAUAAUUAUAAAAUCUUAAUAAAUUACGUAGAAAUUUGGAUUAAAUUUAAUAAGUUACAAAUUUUAAUAUAUAUACGCUCUGCCUCAAAUUUUAUAGUCAACAUAAGUUAGCCAUUUGAUUGUUAAGUAAAAAAAAACUUAUACAUUUAAACGAUAUUUUUAAAGUUGAGGAUUUAAACGUCUACAAUAUAGAAGUCGAGGAAUUAAACGUCGACAAUUUGUAAACUAAUGAAAAUUGAGGUUUUUAAAGUAAAAGGGAAACAUAUCAUUUUAAUUAAAUGGAACUUAACCCGUAAAUGUGUUGUCUCUUGACUUGUCUCAAAUGGCAUUGUCAGUGAAAGUUUACAUCUGAGAUGGGAUGAGACCUCAGAUGACUAUCCUGCUCUAAAGAUGAUAUAAAUAUAUCGAAUGACCUUUUUCAAAGAUGUUUUAUAUGAAAUUUAGAUGAUUCUUAUGCUAGACUGUAAUUCUUUUAUCCUUUCACUGAAAAACAAAUGACUCAAAACAUAAACAUCAAGAAAUUAAACUAGUGAUACUAAUAAAUAGACUAAUCCAAGAGUAGUCACUAAUAAGAUAACGUAUAAAUUAUGCAAAACAAUCUCAAAUAAAAUCGAAUGAAUGUUAAAAAGAAAAUAUUAAAAACUUUUCUAUUAGCACAUACCUUUAGCAAAGAAAACGAAUUCGAGGCUUU